AAGGCAGAGUUACAGAGAGGUAGAGGCGGAGAGAGGGAGAGAGAGAGAGAGAGAGAGAGAGAGGUCUUCUAUCCAUUGGUUCACUCCCCAACUUGCCACAAUGGCAGGAGCUGCACCAAUCCGAAGCUAGGAGCUUCUUCUUGGUCUCCCACCCAGGUGCAGGGGUCCAAGGACUUGGGCCAUUUCCCACUGCUUUCCCAGGCCAUCGCAGAGAGCUGGAUUGGAAGUGGAGCAGCCGGGAAUCGAAGCUGCGCCUGUAAGGGAUGCGGGCCCUGCAGGUGGCGGCCCUACCAGACUUCUCUUACACAUUCACCCAGUCUACUCUCCCACCCACCCAUCUCCUCUCAUAUCAGUUUCCUCUCUAAGUCCCACCACGUCUUCACACCUACACGAGUGUCCUUGCACACCAGCCUCCUGCACACCCACCAAUCUCCCCUCACACUCCGACCAGCCUCUCCCAUCAGCUUCUCACACUCACAUCAUUUCUCAUUCACACCUGCCUCCUCGCACAUCCACACAAUCUCCUCUCCCACACGCACACCAGCCUCCUGUCACAUCCAUCUCCUCCAAGACUCAACACCAAUUUCCUCUCAUGCACUCACACCAGCCCCCUCACAUAAACCAGGUUCCCUCUCGCACUCACACUCGGCUCCCACGCACACCCGUUUCGCCGUCACACACCAGCCUCCUCACUUAGACACCAGUGUCCUCAUGGACACACCAGUCUCCUUUCACAUUCACACCAGUCAUACACUCACAUCCAGUUUACACACACACACGGUCUCACACUCACAUCUGUCUCGCUCCCACACUCAAGUGUCUCCUCACACCCUCGUGCUCCCUAGGCACAGCCCCUGCCGCAUGUCGGCCGCUCGCAGGCGGCCUGAUCGUGGGAACCUGGCGAGCCUCUCGGUCCCUGUCCCUGCUUGGUCAUCCAUCUCCCUUCCUAGUCGGUGCACCCGAGACUUCAAAGGCUUUCCCGCAGGCGGAGCUGCCUGCGGGGCGCAGAGGCCUGGCGGACGCAUCGGGGCCUCUCUGGGUCCUGCGGGAGGCUGGCGAGCUGCGGCGCCCCCUCCGCAGCCGCCCGCAGCGAGGGCCGCGCCACGCGCCGGCCUCCCGGGCCAGCCCUCUCCAGCCCCGCGAGUGCAGGCCGGCGGGAGGGGCCGAGGCGAUUCCCUGGCCAAGGGCUGA
rnacentral:lncRNA from 1 species